rnacentral:lncRNA from 1 species
CCUCUUUAUUUUUUUAUUUUAACUUUUAUAUAUUUUCACUCUGUAGCCCAGGCUGGCCUGGAACUCACUAUGCAGUCCAGUUUGGCCUUGAUCUCAUGGGGAUUAAUCCUACUUCGGCCUCUCAAAUGCUGGGAUAAUAGACACGGAUCACUAAGAUUCUGAAUGUAACUUCCUCUCCCCAAAACUCCUGAUUCAAGGCAAUACUGAAAAAGAGAGCCCUCAUCUCAGACAGAAGAUGAGUGUCUCUGAAGAUGCCCACACAGGAUGCAUGGAUGCCAGCUCCUCUACUGCUCCUGGAACCCCGGAC